rnacentral:rRNA from 1 species
UGGGGAAUUUUGGACAAUGGGCGAAAGCCUGAUCCAGCAAUGCCGCGUGUGUGAAGAAGGCCUUCGGGUUGUAAAGCACUUUUGUCCGGAAAGAAAUCCUUGGCUCUAAUACAGUCGGGGGAUGACGGUACCGGAAGAAUAAGCACCGGCUAACUACGUGCCAGCAGCCGCGGUAAUACGUAGGGUGCAAGCGUUAAUCGGAAUUACUGGGCGUAAAGCGUGCGCAGGCGGUUUGCUAAGACCGAUGUGAAAUCCCCGGGCUCAACCUGGGAACUGCAUUGGUGACUGGCAGGCUAGAGUAUGGCAGAGGGGGGUAGAAUUCCACGUGUAGCAGUGAAAUGCGUAGAGAUGUGGGAGCAGUGCG